GACGAACGCUGGCGGCGUGCUUAACACAUGCAAGUCGAACGGAAAGGCCCUUCGGGGUACUCGAGUGGCGAACGGGUGAGUAACACGUGGGUGAUCUGCCCUGCACUCUGGGAUAAGCCUGGGAAACUGGGUCUAAUACCGGAUAUGAUCAUGCGCCUCAUGGUGUGUGGUGGAAAGCUUUUGCGGUGUGGGAUGGGCCCGCGGCCUAUCAGCUUGUUGGUGGGGUAAUGGCCUACCAAGGCGACGACGGGUAGCCGGCCUGAGAGGGUGACCGGCCACACUGGGACUGAGAUACGGCCCAGACUCCUACGGGAGGCAGCAGUGGGGAAUAUUGCACAAUGGGCGCAAGCCUGAUGCAGCGACGCCGCGU
rnacentral:rRNA from 1 species